AUGGCCGAUCGGCUGGCUCGCAGAAACAUGCCGCACACAAGGGUGUGCCAACUGUGUUGCCAACAGGAUGAGGAUGUCAAUCACAUGCUCCUGGGCUGUGUGUUCGCGCGUGAGGUUUGGUACAUCAUUCUGCUUCCGCUGAGAUUGCACAGAUUCACUCCGGACGGCGCGAAGCCGUUAGUAGAAUGGUGGCCCCAGAUGGUGGAGGCGGUGCCGGCGAGCCAACGAAGACAUCUGAACACCAUGACCCUCGCCACUCUGUGUUUCAUCUGGCUCGAGUGCAACAACCGCGUCUUCGAACGCAAAGUUUCACCGGCCGCAGCCACGGUUGAGCUCAUUAGGGCUGAGCUCCGGCUUUUGAUUAGCGCUAGGGUAGAGGGUGGACACCCAUUUCAAGUGCACUAG
rnacentral:rRNA from 1 species